UAUAUCUUCGGAGACAAAUCUGGGAGCGGCUAUACAAUAUUUUACGCCAAAUAUAGCGGUGGAUUCAUCGGCAACUUAUGCUAAGUUAAGAGAAUGGAUCAGAAAAAUUUCGAGACCAAAUCUAUUCGAGGAGUUUUCUUGAUGAAAGUUCCAGGGAUCUAUAUAAAGGAUACAAGACUAUCAGACCUGUGCAUUCAAUAUCGUGAUUAGUUUCUCUGUUCUCUGGUAAUCAUAUUGUUAGCUUUCUUACUUAUUUGGAAAAAGACGUAGUAUCUCCAUGUUCUUUCUUCUUUGCUACGAUUUCUGCUGAAAAGGAUAAAUAGCCAAAGCCAGUUCUUUAUUGGCAAAUCUCCUACCCCUUUUCUGAAUCAAACGAACCCUAAUAUUUUGAUCAUAGAUCUAUUUCUUUUUGAUAUUUGGUUUCACAGGGAUUUUUAUAUCGAAGAAGAGUUUGCGAAGUAAAAGGAAGGAUGACACAAGGCGAACUAGAAUAGGCUGAUUGAUCCAGGUAUGCAGUUGUGAGCUAUUACACUAAUUUUUGAUUUAAUUCAUUAAAUUUUUUUUGCUUUUCUUUUCUCAGUAGUCGUAGUAGACAAGAAGAUUAGUUGAAGAUUCAAUCCUUACUGGAGAGUGUGUCUGACAUCAAGUCAAAAGGUUGUUGUUCGAUUCACACCAGAUUCAAUGGUAACCAUUCCGUUAUUUACAUCCUUUAGACUGACCUGCAGAGUAACAAAUACCAACAAAAAUUCACGUAGAGUUGAUAUGGAUGAUUGAACUAUGUCGCACCCGAUGAAAUGGUUCCACCGGUAUCAAUAAAUUUACAUUUAAUUGGAGGAAGAAGCGGUGUUGCCUUCUCAUGGUGGCAUUUGGUUGGGUUGGCAACUCCAUUUUGCAUUGAAUUGGUAGGAAGGAAAAUAAAAAAAUGGUGUAGAUUGGUAGCCAAGAUAUGUAGUCCAAUAUAGUAACAGUAUUUUGAUUAUGUAGCUCUGUUCUGCGCAGGAUUUUUUUUUGUAUUUGACUGAUUUAGUUCUCUAGCUUGGUAACAUCUGUUAUAAUCUUGUAACCUUAACUUAUUUCUGGUGCGUUUUGAUGUGUUUUUAGCUCCAGAAAAUUUGGUGGCCACUUAUUACCAGCAACAGGUACAAAGGUACAAAUGUUGGAUGGGAUUCAGUGAGAUGGAUAUGUUAACUGAUCGUAAUUUUCUUUCCGGAAUGACAAAGGAAUAGCAAGAAAAUUUGGCUAAAAGUGAAAACUUGGCUAUCAAAAUACCAAAUAUGCUUCUUUUGCCUCAGUCCAGAGUGGUUCAUUGUCUAUCAUAGUACACUGGAUUCACUUCUUGAUCUCUUAACAUGCUUCAUUUUGUGGUUUACCUCAUUCUCAAUGCAGACCGAAACCCCUAUCGAUAUCCUAUUAGGAAAAAAAGAGCAUGCACCAUUGGUCAGUUUUCUUUCUCUUAGGCUCAAAUUAGAAUUAGAAAUUCCUGUGUUUUCUUACCUCAUUCUCAAUGCAGACUGAAACCCCUAUUGAUAUCCUAUUAAGAAAAGAAAAGUAUGCACCAUUAGUCAGUUUCCUUUCUCUUGGGCUCAAAUUAGAAAUUCCUACGUUGUUCUUAUAUAUACAUUAUGGGAUUUGAUAAAGUUGAUGUGUAUUUGUUUACUUUUAAAUGAUUUUCGGCUAAAUAUUUGUUUGAAGUUUUCUUUGUUUUUUGAUGAUUUAGUUUUUAUAGGUACUCCUAAAAAAUAAUUUCUCGAGUGGAUUUUUAAUUACUUAAAAACUGAUCAUUAGUUGGCAAUGCAGAUAGAGCAGAACAUUUGAUGACAACAAUUUUACAUAUUUCUGCUAUGGUGCUCUACUGUAAUACGAGCAGAACAUGCAUAAAUCUUUAUAAAACACAGUAAUAUGAGGCAGUGCAAGGUAGCGUGUGAAAGUGGUAUUAGUAGGAGAUGGAGAGUAGUUAUCUGCUACUCGUUUUCCUGGAUGCUUUCCGCCUCCAGUUUGAAAACUGAACAUUUGAUUACAACAAUUUUGUAUAUUUCGGCUACGGUGCUCUACUCUGUUAUGCACGAAGAUCCUUAAUUGUCCAUUUCCUUACUUAGUUUGGAUGAGCUAAAACCAGGAGCGUUUAACUCUAUUUUUAGUCAACUAAAUGCUAUAUUAAUGCCUAAAAAUCUUUCAUCCCCUUUUUUUUUCUUCUGCAGUAUGGGGAAAUAAUAAUGAUAGACUCUAACUGUCUUUUGAGUUUUGGGAAUCAAGCAGGUUGGAUGCUUAAAUUGCAUGAACUCCUUAAAUUAAGAAUGGUGCGGAUUUGUAACUGCCAAGUAUUACCAACCAAGGUUGAAUUUUUUUUUAUUUUUUUUUUUUGGUGUAGCAUUUUUUCAAAAUCAUGAAAUUAUGUUAGAUAUUGAUUUUCCAGUCGACAACUACUGUUUUUUACACCGGGUAACCCUGACAAGUACAAUCUAUUUUUGCACAUAAUUUUUUGGAUUUGAUGAACUCCUUCCUCUUGGUGCGGGAAUUUUGGUUCAAAACCAUGUAAUGUUAUGUUUUCUUCACUCAAAUGGUACAUAACAUGGUUCACAACCAGGUAGAGUGGGUUCGACUCCCACAGAUGAUAUUCUAAUUAGGUGUCAGGUCUUGAUCGUAGUUCCGCAGGGAGAGGCGUAACGGUAUUUUGAGUAUUUUCGAUAGAGAAUAUUUUAUGUUUUUUCCCCUCUUCCUGCCCUGCAGCUGGAUAUCUACUUUAAUUUAGCUUGGAAGGUUUGGAAGAUGAAUUUCAGUUCUUUUAUGCACUUGCUAUAUUAUUUUUUCGUUGUUGUCAUUUUCUCCGGUUGGGAUGAAGUACCAAGCACUACCUGCUGGACGUUUUCUCAGAAAUAUAUUAUGUAUUCAAAUACAAGAGAAGCUAGCAGUAUUAUUCUUAGCAGUCGCAGAAUUAGUAGAUUUCUAUGUUAGUUCAUUUUUUUCA